CCUACGGGUGGCAGCAGUGGGGAAUAUUGCACAAUGGGCGCAAGCCUGAUGCAGCCAUGCCGCGUGUGUGAAGAAGGCCUUCGGGUUGUAAAGCACUUUCAGCGGGGAGGAAGGCGUUAAGGUUAAUAACCUUGUCGAUUGACGUUACCCGCAGAAGAAGCACCGGCUAACUCCGUGCCAGCAGCCGCGGUAAUACGGAGGGUGUAAGCGUUAAUCGGAAUUACUGGGCGUAAAGCGCACGCAGGCGGUCUGUCAAGUCGGAUGUGAAAUCCCCGGGCUCAACCUGGGAACUGCAUUCGAAACUGGCAGGCUAGAGUCUUGUAGAGGGGGGUAGAAUUCCAGGUGUAGCGGUGAAAUGCGUAGAGAUCUGGAGGAAUACCGGUGGCGAAGGCGGCCCCCUGGACAAAGACUGACGCUCAGGUGCGAAAGCGUGGGGAGCAAACAGGAUUAGAUACCCUUGUAGUC
rnacentral:rRNA from 1 species